GUGCUGCAUGGUUGUCGUCAGCUCGUGCCGUGAGGUGUCGGCUUAAGUGCCAUAACGAGCGCAACCCCCACCGACAGUUGCUAACUGGUCAAGCAGAGGACUCUGUCGGGACUGCCGGCGCAAGCUGCGAGGAAGGCGGGGAUGACGUCAAAUCAGCACGGCCCUUACGUCCGGGGCGACACACGUGUUACAAUGGCAGGUACAGCGGGAAGCGACC
rnacentral:rRNA from 1 species